rnacentral:rRNA from 1 species
AUUGAACGCUGGCGGCAGGCUUAACACUUGCAAGUCGAGCGGAGAUGAGGUGCUUGCACCUUAUCUUAGCGGCGGACGGGUGAGUAAUGCUUAGGAAUCUGCCUAUUAGUGGGGGACAACAUUCCGAAAGGAAUGCUAAUACCGCAUACGCCCUACGGGGGAAAGCAGGGGAUCUUCGGACCUUGCGCUAAUAGAUGAGCCUAAGUCGGAUUAGCUAGUUGGUGGGGUAAAGGCCUACCAAGGCGACGAUCUGUAGCGGGUCUGAGAGGAUGAUCCGCCACACUGGGACUGAGACACGGCCCGGACUCCUGCGGGAGGUAGCAGUGGGGAAUAUUGGACAAUGGGCGGAAGCCUGAUCCAGCCAUGCCGCGUGUGUGAAGAAGGCCUUUUGGUUGUAAAGCACUUUAAGCGAGGAGGAGGCUACCUGGAUUAAUACUCUAGGAUAGUGGACGUUACUCGCAGAAUAAGCACCGGCUAACUCUGUGCCAGCAGCCGCAGUAAUAC